AUACAGAGGGUGCAAGCGUUAAUCGGAAUUACUGGGCGUAAAGCGCGCGUAGGCGGUUUAAUCAGUCGGAUGUGAAAGCCCCGGGCUCAACCCGGGAACUGCAUUCGAUACUGUUAAGCUAGAGUAUGGUAGAGGGAAGUGGAAUUCCAGGUGUAGCGGUGAAAUGCGUAGAUAUCUGGAGGAACAUCAGUGGCGAAGGCGACUUCCUGGACCAAUACUGACGCUGAGGUGCGAAAGCGUGGGGAGCAAACAGGAUUAGAUACCCCAGUAGUCC
rnacentral:rRNA from 1 species